rnacentral:rRNA from 1 species
GAAAUAAUAGUACCGAAGUUCCUGAUGUCACACUGCCGAGAAAAGCUUCUAGUGAGAAAACAGCGGCCCGUACCGCAAACCGACACAGGUAGUCGAGGAGAGAAUCCUAAGGUGAGCGAGAGAACUCUCGUUAAGGAACUCGGCAAAAUGACCCCGUAACUUCGGGAGAAGGGGUGCUGAUCAUACGAUCAGCCGCAGUGAAUAGGCCCAAGCGACUGUUUAUCAAAAACACAGGUCUCUGCAAAAUCGUAAGAUGAAGUAUAGGGGCUGACGCCUGCCCGGUGCUGGAAGGUUAAGAGGAGUGCUUAGCGCAAGCGAAGGUACGAAUUGAAGCCCCAGUAAACGGCGGCCGUAACUAUAACGGUCCUAAGGUAGCGAAAUUCCUUGUCGGGUAAGUUCCGACCCGCACGAAAGGCGUAACGAUUUGGGCACUGUCUCAACGAGAGACUCGGUGAAAUUUUAGUACCUGUGAAGAUGCAGGUUACCCGCGACAGGACGGAAAGAC